rnacentral:rRNA from 1 species
AAUGAACGCUGGCGGCAGGCCUAACACAUGCAAGUCGAACGCACCGCAAGGUGAGUGGCAGACGGGUGAGUAACGCGUGGGAACCUUCCCUUUGGUUCAGGAUAGCCCCGAGAAACUGGGAUUAAUACUGGAUAAGAUCUACGGAUGAAAGAUUUAUCGCCGAAGGAUGGGCCCGCGUAAGAUUAGCUAGUUGGUGAGGUAAUGGCUCACCAAGGCUUUGAUCUUUAGCUGGUCUGAGAGGAUGAUCAGCCACACUGGAACUGAGACACGGUCCAGACUCCUACGGGAGGCAGCAGUGAGGAAUAUUGGACAAUGGGCGCAAGCCUGAUCCAGCCAUGCCGCGUGAGUGAUGAAGGCCUUAGGGUUGUAAAACUCUUUUAGUGGGGAAAAUAAUGAUGGUACCCACAGAAAAAGCUCCGGCUAACUUCGUGCCAGCCGCCGCCGUAA